rnacentral:rRNA from 1 species
AGCGAACGCUGGCGGCAGGCCUAACACAUGCAAGUCGAACGAACUCUUCGGAGUUAGUGGCGGACGGGUGAGUAACACGUGGGAACGUGCCUUUAGGUUCGGAAUAACUCAGGGAAACUUGUGCUAAUACCGAAUGUGCCCUUCGGGGGAAAGAUUUAUCGCCUUUAGAGCGGCCCGCGUCUGAUUAGCUAGUUGGUGAGGUAAAGGCUCACCAAGGCGACGAUCAGUAGCUGGUCUGAGAGGAUGAUCAGCCACAUUGGGACUGAGACACGGCCCAAACUCCUACGGGGGGCAGCAGUGGGGAAUCUUGCGCAAUGGGCGAAAGCCUGACGCAGCCAUGCCGCGUGAAUGAUGAAGGUCUUAGGAUUGUAAAAUUCUUUCACCGGGGACGAUAAUGACGGUACCCGGAGAAGAAGCCCCGGCUAACUUCGUG